rnacentral:rRNA from 1 species
GAUGAACGCUGGCGGCGUGCCUAAUACAUGCAAGUCGAGCGAACAGAUGAGGAGCUUGCUCCUCUGACGUUAGCGGCGGACGGGUGAGUAACACGUGGAUAACCUACCUAUAAGACUGGGAUAACUUCGGGAAACCGGAGCUAAUACCGGAUAAUAUAUUGAACCGCAUGGUUCAAUAGUGAAAGACGGUUUUGCUGUCACUUAUAGAUGGAUCCGCGCCGCAUUAGCUAGUUGGUAAGGUAACGGCUUACCAAGGCAACGAUGCGUAGCCGACCUGAGAGGGUGAUCGCCCACCUUGGAGCUGAGACACGGUCCAGACUCCUACGGGAGGCAGCAGUAGGGAAUGUUCCGCAGUGGGCGAAAGCAUGACGGAGCAACGCGGCGUGAGUGAUGAAGGUCUUCGGAUCGUAAAACUCUGUUAUUAGGGAAGAACAACUGUGUAAGUAACUAUGCACGUCUUGACGGUACCUAAUCAGAAAGCCACGGCUAACUACGUG